UCCACGUCGUGCCACCCUCCCGGGUGGGGU
rnacentral:sRNA from 1 species